UUAAACCCAAAUAAAAAAAAUCCAAAUUAAUAACAGUAUGUGUAUCUAGUACAGUCACAGAACAUAAACUGAUUUUUAUGUGAACAUGUUUUCAUAAUUGUGGAUGAUCAGAUGCAUAACUCAGAAAAUGUAAGAAAUUUUUCAUCGAGAAACUUUAGGAAAUGGGAGGAGGUAGUAUUUUUAAAAUUUUUUAUAUUGCUGUGUGAUGAUUAAUAUUGAGUGUCAACUUCAUUGGAUUGAAGAAUACAAAUUAUUGUUCCUGGGUGUUUCUGUGAGGGUGUUUGCCAAGGAGAUUAACAUUUGAGUCAGUGGACUGUAAGGGGCAGACCCACCCUCAAUCUGAGUGGGCACCAUAUACUUAGCUGCCAGCGUGGCUAGGUUAAAAAGCAGGCAGAAGAAUGUGGAAAGACUAGAAAACCAGAAAGCUGGCUGACUCUUCCAGCUUUCAUCUUUCUCCUGUGAUGGACGCUUCCUGCCUUUGAACAUUGGACUCCAAGUUCUUCAGCUUUUGGACUCCUGGACUUACACCAGUGCUUUGCCAGGGGCUCUCAGGCCUCUGGCCACAGGCUGAAGGCUGCACUGUUGGCUUCCCUACUUUUGAGAUUUUGGCACUCAAACUGGCUUUCUGGCUCCUCAGCUUGCAGACAACCUAUUGUGGGACUUCAUCUUGUGAUCCUAAUGAGAGUCAGAGACACGUGAAGGACAAGAAGGAUUCAACACACCACCUGGCUUUGGAGAUGCAAGGGGCUGUAUGCGAGGCCAGAACACCCCUGACCAUCAGCCAGUCAAGAAGAGCCUACAGUCCUACAAUCACGUGAAACGGAGUUCUUCAAAAACUUAUAUAAAUCUAGAUGUGGAUUCUUCUCCCACAUGUCUAGAUAAGACGUAAGCCUGGCUGAUACUUUAAUUUUCACCUUGUGAGACUCUACAAAGAGAACCUAGCUAAGCCCACCCAGAAUUCUCACCU
rnacentral:lncRNA from 1 species